CAACAGGGAUUGCCUCAGUAACGGCGAGUGAAGCGGCAAAAGCUCAAAUUUGAAAUCUGGCACCUUCGGUGUCCGAGUUGUAAUUUGAAGAAGGUAACUUUGGAGUUGGCUCUUGUCUAUGUUCCUUGGAACAGGACGUCACAGAGGGUGAGAAUCCCGUGCGAUGAGAUGCCCAACUCUAUGUAAAGUGCUUUCGAAGAGUCGAGUUGUUUGGGAAUGCAGCUCUAAGUGGGUGGUAAAUUCCAUCUAAAGCUAAAUAUUGGCGAGAGACCGAUAGCGAACAAGUACAGUGAUGGAAAGAUGAAAAGAACUUUGAAAAGAGAGUGAAAAAGUACGUGAAAUUGUUGAAAGGGAAGGGCUUGAGAUCAGACUUGGUAUUUUGCAAGCCUUACCUUCGUGGUGGGGUCCCCUGCAGUUUACUGGGCCAGCAUCGGUUUGGAUGGUAGGAUAAUGACUUGGGAAUGUGACUUUGCUUCGGUAAAGUGUUAUAGCCCUUGUUGAUACUGCCUGUCUAGACCGAGACUGCGUCUUUGACUAGGAUGCUGGCAUAAUGAUCUUAAGUCGCCCGUCUUGAA
rnacentral:rRNA from 1 species